GUUUUAUUUUUUGUGCAUGGCUUUCUUGUUGAAGUUAUUGAAUUGAGGGGGGCAGUUAUUCGCCAGGGUACAUAUCACCCUGACCUGUAUAUCUCACCACCACCACCCCUACCACAGUGUUCAGGACAUCUGUGAGUUUCAGAACAAGGUCAAGUGAUAUGAACAACUGAAGUGAUGAAUUCAGUCCAAUUCAACCAACAUUUAUUAAACACCUUCUAUGUGCAAAAAUUUUGAUAGUUGUUACAGAUUUGGACAAAAAAGAAAUACUUCUUACAUUUUGGGGGAGGAAAGGAGUUGCAACAUUAAUUUGAAUAUCCCAGAACAGCUGACAGGAGAUGGAAGACAAUCAAGAAGAAGGAGAAGUCCUCCCCUCGACUUUGGUAUCAGGAUAUAUGAAGACUAUGGUGAUGACUCAAGCAUAUACUACGCAAGUACUAUGAGAGAGGGGCACAAAUAAUAUUGCUUCAUCAUCAACCUGAAUGGGAACUACUCUGAGAACUACUUGAGUGAUACAAGAAAGGAUUCCCAUGAUAUCCCUAUGAAUUUUGAAGUUGUAGAGUCCAUUCUUAAGUUGAA